AUUGAACGCUGGCGGCAUGCUUUACACAUGCAAGUCGAACGGCAGCGCGGUCUUUUUCCUGGCUGCUAGUGGCGCACGCGUGAGUAAUACAUCUGAAUGUGCCCAGCAGUGGGUUAGAGCUCCUCGAAAGCCGGAUGAAUACCGCAUACUACCUGAGCCUGAAACCGGGGGGUCGUCGGACCGUGCGCUCGUUUAGGGGCCGAUGCCAGAUUAGUUAGCUGGUUGGUUAAAGGCCUACCAAGGCGACGAUCUGUAGCUGGUCUGAGAGGACGACCAGCCACACUGGAACUGAGCCAGGGCCCAGACUCCUACGGGAGGCAGCAGUGGGGAAUUUUAGACAAUGGGCGAGAGCCUGAUCCAGCAAUGCCGCGUGUGUGAUGACGGCGUUCGGGUUGUAAAGCACGUUUGGGGGGAGCGAAAAGGACUGUGCCAAUACCACGGUUCGAUGACGGUACCCGCAGAAUAAGCACCGGCUAACUACGUG
rnacentral:rRNA from 1 species